AGGGGAUCUGGGCAGGGAGAGAAGGCAGGGAAAAGAGUGGUGACUGAGCAGAGCUGUGGCACGUGCUGGAGAGCAUCCCACUGGGAGGUAACAGAGGUUUGCAGGGCAACACUGAGAUCUGCCUGAGAGGAAAGGUGUCCAGUGGCCACUGGGCAGCCCAGGUCCCAGACCUGUCCCUGGUCACUGUCCUGGAGAGUGUACUUUUGACAAAGAUGAGUGUGUGUUUACCCAGAAGAGGAGAGGACGCAGG